UACAGAGGGUGCGAGCGUUGUCCGGAAUCACUGGGCGUAAAGGGCGCGUAGGCGGCUUUUCAAGCGUGCGGUGAAAGCUCGGGGCUUAACUCCGAGUCUGCCGUGCGAACUGGGAGGCUUGAGUCUGGUAGAGGUCGAUGGAAUUCCGAGUGUAGAGGUGAAAUUCGUAGAUAUUCGGAAGAACACCAGUGGCGAAGGCGACUAACUGGACAUGUAUUGACGCUGAGGUGCGAAAGCGUGGGGAGCAAACAGG
rnacentral:rRNA from 1 species